rnacentral:rRNA from 1 species
AUACGGAGGAUCCGAGCGUUAUCCGGAUUUAUUGGGUUUAAAGGGUGCGUAGGUGGUUUGAUAAGUCAGCGGUGAAAGUUUGCAGCUUAACUGUAAAAAUGCCGUUGAAACUGUCGGACUUGAGUGUAAAUGAGGUAGGCGGAAUGCGUGGUGUAGCGGUGAAAUGCAUAGAUAUCUGGAAGAACAUCGAAAGCGAAGGCAGAUCACUGGACAAUGACUGACCCUCAGGGACGAAAGCAUGGGGAGC